UUCUACGUGUUAUAACUCUCAAACAAUGAACAUGCUCACGUAAACAUGCAUAAUUACAAAAUCAUAUAGUUACAUACUAGAUACCUUCUUUAAUUCAGAAAAGAACGGAUACAGACGAUUUCGUCACAUUAAUUAUUAUACAUUGUAUAUUCGUACUUUAUCCUUAAAAUAUUCAUCAAAUGUGCGGAUAAAAUUGUCAUAAGGGUCAAAUUUUCUAUUACUGGGGAGUGAGAAUGAGUUUUGCUGAUGAAAUAUUUGUUAAAAGACAGCAACUGAAGCACUUCUCGACUGUUUAACUCAUACUGAUGGCACAAAGGUUUUAACAAGCAACUUGACUUGUGGGGACAAAGUC